AGUUCUAUUCAUACAAAAAUCUUUUAGUACCGGCAAAAGUAAUCUUAUAUUUGGCGUCCAAAGUCCAAAGUUUACAGAAACUAUUAUUAUAAAGCAAAAAUUUGAUUUAAAAAAUAAUAAGUACCUGUGAAAAAAGUGAGAGUUCAAGCAUUGCUUGAGAUCUGCUAUUUUUGAAACCAUCAAAGUGAUUGAUUAAGAUUUUGAAAGUCAUGUCUGAACCCGAAGAGGACUCCGCUGCAGUGGCUCAUCCAGAAGAAAAUCCAACUGAUGCUGAUAAGCCUUCCGCGCCAACUACUGAAGAAUCAGAAAUCCCUUCCGAACAACCUUCAGAACCGGUGCCCGCUCCUUCUGAAAAUCCUGAGGUGGAAAAUGCUUCUGAGCAAAUACAGCCGCCUCCACCUGAAGCACUUGCUCCAGAAAAGCCUCCUGAUAGUAAGCCAGCUAAUGAAGAGUCACGAAGACGUUCAUCCAUGAAAGCUUCAAUAGAUGUUACAGCUAGAACCAUGUCGAUUAAUCAGGAGACAUUUAUGCCUCCUGAACUUGCUACUCCUGCUGGCUCAGUUGAUAGAAGAUUCAGUGGUCUCAGGCGGACAAGCCUUCCUUCUGGAGAUGCAAGAAGAUCUAGUGUUGCUCGAAAAUCAAAAUUUGGCGGGCUGAGUAGCAAAGCUCGAAUGGUAUUAGGAAGCAUCGUCGACAUUAAAAGUAACACUGUGGAGGGAUACGAUAAAAAGGCAAGUAUGGAUUUUUGCCCCAAUAUAGGUCGCUAACACACAAACCAACUUUCCUUGAUCGAAAUUUGAUCGACAACACAUAUUUUGUACCAUCUGGUGCCCUCAUAAAGCCGUCCAUCGAUUUGCUUCGGAAAUCUAGUCUAUAUCCGUAAGAAUUUGUCUCGUCUUUCUUGGGAAAGGAAAACUAUGAACUGUCUUCUAUCAUAACUGGAAGGUUGAAAGUUCCACUAAAUACUGUGUGUGUAACAGAACUGAAACUUGCUGAGAAGUUACAUUUUUUUUCGAAAAUAACGAUGAGUACCUAUUCUCUGCUGGGGAAUAGCAAUGAGGUAAGGAUACGAUUUUAAACUCCUGAUGUUCAUUUUGUAUUAAUAGAAUCCGUAUUCAGUUAUAAGUUGGUAUUGAAAGUGUCCGAUUUAAAUACUUUAAAUAUUUAAAAAGCAUAUAAAUGUAUGUUGAGUUUUCAUGCGUAGGAGCUGAAUUUUCUAAAUUAUUAGAGCUAGAUAGUCGGUUAUACUAGGAAAUGUUUGCACAUUUGUGAGCUGAGUCUUUUUGAGUAUUUUGAGGUUUAAUAGAUAAUUACGAAGUAGCGAAAUGGCUAGAAAAAUUGAAGCGCCUAUAGUUAAUUAAUUAUCGAUGAUAUCUAAAAUGUCUUACGGCAAAUGUGGAUAAUCGUUCUGCGAUGUGGCAGAGUAGAUAACUUUCUUGAAAAGGGGUGACUUUUAAGAUGGGGUACAAAAUCACAUUUUUGUAAACCUAUAAACUAGUACAAUUGUAACCUUUUCGAAUAAUAUUCUAUAGCGAAUCUCAAAAGAAAUGUAAUUAUUUUCAUCAUAGGCUGCAAAAUAUCAAAACACCUAUAAAAUGGAAUCGGAAAAACCGUUCAAUCCAGAAAAAGUAGACAAAAUCCUCGAAGAAGUAAUGCAAGAGGUAAUGGAAAAUCUUCAGUACGAUCCCGAAAAAUGUGCAGCGACUGCAAAAUAUGCCUCUACUCAAAUUAGAAGCAAAGUUAAACAAUUAGAGUUCGACAGGUAUAAGGUGGUAUGCAUUGUGACCAUCGGAGAAAAAAAUUCGCAAGACGUGUACGCGACCUGCAGGUUUCUUUGGGAUCCGGAAAAAGACAGAUACUCCUUUUAUUCCUUGGAAAACACGCAUGUCUAUGCAAUUGCCUUGUGUUUUGGGCUGUAUUAUGAAUGAAAGCAUGCGUAUUUUAUUUUUAUUAUUAUAAUUAGUUUGUGGUCGA
rnacentral:misc_RNA from 1 species